AGUGAACGCUGGCGGUAGGCCUAACACAUGCAAGUCGAACGGCAGCACAGGAGAGCUUGCUCUCUGGGUGGCGAGUGGCGGACGGGUGAGGAAUACAUCGGAAUCUGCCCAGUCGUGGGGGAUAACGUAGGGAAACUUACGCUAAUACCGCAUACGACCUUCGGGUGAAAGAGGGGGAUCGCAAGACCUCUCGCGAUUGGAUGAGCCGAUGUCGGAUUAGCUAGUUGGCGGGGUAAUGGCCCACCAAGGCGACGAUCCGUAGCUGGUCUGAGAGGAUGAUCAGCCACACUGGAACUGAGACACGGUCCAGACACCUACGGGAGGCAGCAGUGGGGAAUAUUGGACAAUGGGCGCAAGCCUGAUCCAGCCAUACCGCGUGGGUGAAGAAGGCCUUCGGGUUGUAAAGCCCUUUUGUUGGGAAAGAAAUCUUUCAGGCUAAUACCCUGGGAGGAUGACGGUACCCAAAGAAUAAGCACCGGCUAACUUCGUG
rnacentral:rRNA from 1 species